CAAACUCUCUAGAUCAGCUAUCAGUUUUAGAAACACAUCCACAUUUUCUUCAAUCGACUUAUCCUCUUCCAUUUUGUAGCAGGAGAACUGACGCUUCAGAUAGAUCCUGUUUGGAAGAGACUUGAGCUGAUACAGCUUCUCCAGGGACUUCCACAUGCCAAGAGCAGUCUGCUCGUGCAUGAUUUUCCUCAAGAUUGAAUCACUCAAGCAGAUACUGACGUAACCACGAAGUCGUCUUGUAACACUGCAAGGAGACCUUGAAUCUCCAACUGAGCCAUCAUCUUGUACUUCCACAUACCGAAGUCCCCCUUUCCAUCAAACUUAUCCAUCUCGAACUUUCCAUGAGUUCUCUCCAUCUUGAAACGUAAGGAUCUCAGGAGCAACUGCACACAGAAAGCGAAUAGCAGCAAUCACAGCAACACAAGCAGGAGAUCUACAAACCUCAAUGAUCGCAGCAAGUAAUCACAGAUAAGUAACCUCUCCUUCUCCUUCCUUAUCAGAUCUGAUCUUACUCGUUACCUUAGCACCCAACCUUGUGCUCUGAUACCAAUUGUUGAGAAUUUAGAUCCGAUUAGGUUAGGUUUAGCUUCUUGAAUGUUAACGUGAUUUGGUUUCUUCGAUUUCGUUUCAGGUUCGAGAACAGAGCAACGAAGAACAAAUGAACAACACAAGAUUUGUUCACCCGGUGUUCGCUGAUCUACUCACCGGGGAGGGAACGGCAUCCCUCAACUGAUCACUAUUGAAUGUUUUGAUCAAGGUUACAAGCUCAACAAUAAUGGCGUAAGCCAAUAAACCAGAGCAAUACAAGAGAGAUUUAGCGAGCUUAUCACUUCCUCUAUGAAGCCGGAAAGUCACCGCCGGAAUGAUCCAACCUGAUCGUGUACCGCUUUCGUGACUCCGUCGAACUUCAACCUCGUGAUCUCAAAGCUAAGUCGUCUUCUCUCUUCCUUGAUCUUUCUCUCUCGAUGUGAUUCUCUCUAUCUUCGCCGUAGUGAUGAUGACAGCUCAUGAGUUUGUUAUAACAAACUCUACCACUCUUGAAACGCACCGUUUCAGUUUAGCCGUCACUUGUUUAUUUCUGGGCUGAGACUUGGGCUUCCUUGUUUCUCUUGCAGGUUUACACGGAAAUGGGUUUCGACACUGAAGCCCAUUCGGUGUUUGACUGAACCAAAAGUCCACAAUAGUCCAUCAACCAUCAAUUUAAGAGCGAUUUGCAUGGAAAAUAAAUACUCAAUAACUAUAAAACUUGCAAUAAGUAAAAUGAUGAAAAAUCAUGCUAAGAUCCAAAUCAUAUAAGAGUAAAAAAGAUGCACCUAACCCUAUUAUUAGUUGCACAAAGUCUAUAGCUAGUUUUACGAGAAAAAAACAGAUGAGUUUAUUGAUUAGUCCAAUAUUUGUAUAUUUCUCUAAUAUAUUUGUUUAUAAUCCAA